rnacentral:rRNA from 1 species
UUUUGGCGUUCGCGGCUACAUGCAGUCGACGAGAACGGAUUUUAGUUUACAAAAUUGUCAGCUAAGUGGCGCACGGGUGAGUAAUGUAUAGUUAACCUGCCUUCAAGAGGGGAAUAAUUGAUGGAAACGUCUUGUAAUGCCCUAUAUGCCUUUAUAACAAAAGUUAGCAAGGGAAAUGCUUUUGUGCUUGAAGAUGGGACUGUAUUGUAUCAGCUAGUUGGUGAGGUAAUGGCUCACCAAGGCAAUGACGCAUAACUGGUUUGAGAGGAUGAUCAGUCACACUGGAACUGAGACACGGUCCAGACUCCUACGGGAGGCAGCAGUGGGGAAUAUUGCACAAUGGAGGGAACUCUGAUGCAGCAACGCCGCGUGGAGGAUGACACAUUUCGGUGCGUAAACUCCUUUUAUAUAAGAAGAAAAUGACGGUAUUAUAUGAAUAAGCACCGGCUAACUCCGUGCCAGCAGCCGCGGUAAUACGGGGGGUGCAAGCGUUACUCGGAAUCACUGGGCGUAAAGAGCAUGUAGGCUGGGUAGUAAGUUGGAAGUGAAAUCCUAUAGCUUAACUAUAGAACUGCUUCCAAAACUGCGACCCUAGAAUACGGGAGAGGUAGAUGGAAUUUCUGGUGUAGGGGUAAAAUCCGUAGAGAUCAGAAGGAAUACCGAUUGCGAAGGCGAUCUACUGGAACAUUAUUGACGCUGAGAUGCGAAAGCGUGGGGAGCAAACAGGAUUAGAUACCCUGGUAGUCCACGCCCUAAACGAUGUACACUAGUUGUUGCGAUACUAGAUAUUGCAGUAAUGCAGUUAACACAGUAAGUGUACCGCCUGGGGAGUACGGUCGCAAGAUAA